rnacentral:rRNA from 1 species
AUACGUAGGGGGCGAAGCGUUGUCCGGAUUUACUGGGUGUAAAGGGCGCGCAGGCGGGUUGACAAGUCAGAGGUGAAAUCCUGCAGCUUAACUGCAGAACUGCCUUUGAAACUGUUAAUCUUGAGUACGGAAGAGAGAGACGGAAUUCCAGGUGUAGUGGUGAAAUACGUAAAUAUCUGGAAGAACACCAGUUGCGAAGGCGGUCUCUUGGUCCGUUACUGACGCUCAGGCGCGAAAGCGUGGGUAGC